UCAACUCAAUACUUGCAUAGAUCUUUUCAUCAUAAUACAUUAAUACGACCAUGUCUUUCAGAAAGAAAUCAGAUGAAAAACAUUGACGGACAUUGAUCUAAGUGAAGACAGUCAUUAGAAGCAGAUUAUUUAAGAUGAAUGCAGGAGAAGCAAAAGAAAAAAACAUAAAAAUCUUAAAAUAAAAAAAAAGCAGUAUAAUAGUUUUUUUAAAUCUCAUUAAGAAUUAUCAAUCAGAUAUAUGUCAUUGAUGUUUGACUUCAUGGAGAGUCCUCAAAUCUGGAGAGAAAAAUUAUUAUUAAAUCUAAAAUACAAAUUAUGGAUCACUAGGAGAGUUGUAAUCACCAUGAUGUGCAAACAGAAAAAUUCUAAAGAUUUAGAUUCGUCUGCACCCUUGGCGAUCUUUGGAGUGCUUACGGACGUACAAUAUGCAGAUGUAGAUAAUAGGCCUGCCGGUUACGAUCCUACUAAAACCAGAUAUUAUCGUCAAGCAUUGGAUCAUGUUGAUUCUGCAUUUAAUUAUUGGCAAAAAAUGACACACCCUGUAAAAUUUGUUUUACAGUGUGGUGAUAUUAUUGAUGGCCUGAAUCGUGAAUCAUGUGGAUCUCUUACGGCUUUACAGAAAACUCUCGACAGAUUUGAGCAACAUAAAAACAUACCAACGUUUCAUACUGUCGGAAAUCACGAACUCUAUAAUUUUUCAAGAUUGGAACUAGUGAAACACUUUGCUAAAACUGUUAAAAAGAUGAAGAUUCCUCCUUCUAUGUUUAAUUCUGAAAGGCGACCAUUAAGUGAAACUGACAAUCUCCCUUUAAACGAUCUAACUUUAUAUUAUAAAUUUUGUCCUGUUGCAGGGAUGAAAUGCAUUUCAUUAGAUUGUUUUGACAUUAGUGUAAUUGGUUAUGAUAAGUUGCAUCCAAAUUACAUGAAAGCAGCUCAGAUACUGUAUGAUCACCAUGGUCAUCAUGAUUUCGAUGGAUGGGACUGUGACGGAUUAUUACAAGGAUUAGAAAGGAGAUUUCAGCAAAUGAAUGGAGCCUUAAGUAAACAACAGUUACAGUGGUUAGACGAGGAACUUUUAGAAUCUGAUAGAUUGGGAGAGAAAGUGAUUGUGUUUGGUCAUGUUAGUUUAGCACCAGAUAGUUCUGACUGGAGUUGCCUUUUAUGGAAUUACAAUGAUGUUAUUGACAUUUUUCAUCGGCACAACUGUGUUAUUGCAUACUUCAGUGGUCAUACGCACAAUUCGGGAUAUGCCAUGGAUUCGAAAGGCAUUCAUUAUGUAGUAUUAAAUGGUAUCGUAGAAACAUCACCCAGUGACAAGGCUUUUGCCACUAUAUCCCUUUAUGAUGACAGACUCGAAAUAAAUGGACACGGUAGAGAAGAAAGCCGUACUUUGUGGAUAAAUACUUCUUGUGAUGGCAUUGGUUCUGCGGAAGAUGAUAUUGAAUCAAUUUCGGUUGUUCAGUCAUCAAAACCAAUUAAAGUGGAAGUUUAACUACAACUUUAAAAAAAAUAGAUAAAUACAAGUAGAGAAACAAAUGACAUAAGCAGAGGUCAUUUUAUUGGAGAAAGAUGAGUACCUAAAGAUAUGUAAGAAUCAGUGUCAACAUUAAAGUAUUGAUUUUAAUAAUUCCUCUACAGUUUCAAGGUCUAGCCCAAUGUAAUCAACAUACUGAUUUUAAGAUAAAGAUGCACAUUUUCCAAAAAUAAGGCAGGAAAUAGUUUUAAUAUCAUUAAUUUUAUUAAGAUCAUAAAUAUUGUGUGUACUUUAUAAGAUUUAAUCAGCAAUAUAAGAGCUUCAAGAUAUAACAGAUAAACUUAAGUCUAACGACAGAUGAAAAUAUUUUUUUUAAUUUAAUAUUUUGUAAUUGUCUAAUUAAAAUUUUAUUUAGUACUUAAGAGAUAUAUGAUAGUGUUUUGAUAAGUGAUAACUUUACACUUGAUAUUAGAAAAAUAAAAAUUUAUUAAUAUUUUUACUCAAGCUUGUAAAGGAAUCUAAGUAAUUUUAUAUUUUGAAAUUGGUCAGUCAUUUUGAAUUUGUAAAUAUAUAAAUUGUUAAUAAAUUUAUUUACAUUAAUUAAUAAAAUUGAUUAAAUUUAUUUAUGCAAAUAGUUUGGAAUGCAAUAGUUCAAUAUGAUUGUUUAAUCAAAGUGUUAUUUAAUGUGCUAAUUGUAAAUACUGUAAAUUCAUUUUUCCUGCUUUAUAUAAUUUAUUGGAGAAAAUAUUUCUAAUGGCUUAGCAUUUAUUUCAUCAAACAUUUUAAACAAACAAUAUUUAGUGACUUCUGAAUGGUUCUUGAUUAUUUUUGAUGUAUUACUUGUUAGUUUUUCUGUUAUUUAGGCUAAAUUGUUUAGUAUAGUUCAUAAUGUUUUUUUAGUUUUAGCAUAUACAAUUUGUGACAGUGAUACACACAAAUUUAUGUGGAAAUUAUUAAAAAUAAUUUUCACCACUCCAAAAAAAGGUGACUUGGAUUUAGAAUUUAAAUCUGAAACUCCUGCAAAGCAGUUAAAUUGAUAGAACUUGGUUUAGAAUGAUCUAGAUCAGCGGUCCCCAACCUUUUUAUUCCCGCGGACCAUUCAACGUUUGAUAUUUUACUGCGGCCCACUGAGGGGGGACUUUGAUUGUUUAUAUUUUACAUUGAUUUAAUUUAAUAAUUUUAAUUU
rnacentral:misc_RNA from 1 species